GAACCUUGGAUUGUGUGUGUAUGGAUUUUGAAUUGUGAAGGAUGGUCAUUAUGUUUUAAAAGAUGCUUCAUUGAGGUAGAUAGCUCCCUCGGCCUCUCCAAAUAUCCUAAGGGUUUCAAGGGCCUCAGAUUUUCCUCAAUCAGUCAUUCAGUUUCUUUUUUUUUGAUGUGAAAUUCUGAAUUGUCAUAGCUUUUGUUGAUAGCUUUCCAAAAAGAUAGGACACGUUUGAUUUGAAAUAAGAAAGAAUUUUUGGUGAAUUUUUGAGUGUGAGGGAGUUGACUGCCUUUGCAGUUUGGAUCAAUCGAGUUCGGAAAGGCAUUUCUCAGUGCUUGAUGAUUGGCUUCAUUUGAAAUUUUGGAAUCAUCAAGCUUUAUAAGUUAAGCUUUGAAGGGCACAAAUUUUGUUGGAUUUUAAGACAAGCUGAAUUUUUAGUGAAUUUCUAAGUGAAGAGGGUUGGUUGCCAUGGCAGUUUAGAUCACUCAACUUCAAGGGAAGAAUCCUCACGAUUGGAUCAUUAGAUUGCAACGAGAUUUAUUAGAUUAGGAACAUCUUCAAGUUAGCCUUGCAAUAAGCUAAGAAUCAUUCAAAUCAAAGCUGAUUACAAAUUUUGGAAAAUUUUGGAGUAGAAGGGGAUUGCUGCCUUCAAUCCUUGCGUGUUGUCAAGGUACCUUUGCUUUCAUCUCUCUUAUUUUAUUUUUACUAUUAUCUUCACAGUGAAUUGUAAUCCCCACAUUUCACCUUUUGGCUAAUAAAUUUUAAGUUUUAACUUUUAACCUUCAAUAUUCUCAAUUUAACUUUUAACCUUUAAUAUUCUCACUUUAACUUUUAAUUUUAAGUUUUAACUUUAAAUUUUAAAUCUAAUUUUUAAUUUUUACUUAUUGUCAAUUAAUAGUAAAAACUUAGUUAAUUAUAUUUUUAUUAUGUUUUCAUAAUAAUUUUAAUUUAAUAUUUUAAUUUAAUAUCAGCAACCAUUGCUUGGAAGGCAUUAAUUUGAAUUGAACUACAAACAUCUACAUUUAAAUUAACUCAUCAAUUUCAGAAUUGGAAGUCCUUCGAUUCCACCCCCUCAACCUGUUGUGUGGCAUCAAUUUACUGAGUGGUGAAUUUGAGGCUCACAAUAAGCAUGCCAAAUAGUACAUUGUUUGAGUUCAUACAAUGCAUACCUUUUUUUUUUAUUGAAAUGACUUGAUAUAUUAUGUCAAAUUUGAGAUUUAUUGUUUAAAUCUAUAAUAUAUAGAAGAAGUUUUAUAGUACAUGUAUAGGCUUAUAUGGUGUUGUAUUACAUAUAUUCUAGCUUAAAAAAGCCAUAGACAUCUAGUUAUACAAGGUAAUAAAAAAUGUAACAAUAAAAUCUUAUUAAGUCUAAUAAAGUCUUAAAUAAAUUCUAAAUAAUCCUUAAAAAUCCUUAUCAAACUUUAACAAAUCAAAAAGGAUAUAAAAGAAUUUAUAAAAGAAAUAUAAUUAAUUUAUAAAUUAAUCUCAAAAAAGAUAAUUAAGAAAUUUUUUAAAAAUAAAAAAACAAAAUUUUAAAGAAAUAAUAAUAAGCUUAAAAAAAUAUUUGAAAUAUUUUUUUUAAAGAAAUAAUAAAGAAUUCCAAAAAAAAUACUAAAAAUAUAAAUUUAAAAUAAAUCCUAAAUAAACCUUAGAUAAAUCCUAAUCAAAUCCUAAAUCCUAAAUCAACUUUAAUGAAAUCGUCAUGAAUCUUAAUCAAAUCCUAGAUCAAAUCUUUAAAAAAUCUUAAUAAAUUUUAACUAAAUCGUAUAUUGAACCCUAAUGAAAUCCUAACCAAGUACUAAUUGAUUUCUAAACCAACUCUAAUCAAAUCCUAAAAACUAAUUAAAUCUUAAUCAAACUUUGAACAUAACUUAUAGUAGAUUUAAAUCUCAAUAAUUAAUGAUUGAAUCAUUGAUUUCAACUCAAAAUUUGCAUACUUCUUAAUAAUUAAGUUGGAAGCAAAUAUAUUUUUUUAAAGAAAAUCAAACAUACCAAAUAGAAGAUAAUUCCUAAAAUCUACUUAAAUAUUAGCUGGCCUUCUUCUCCAACCUUCAUGCAGAUAUUUUAGAGCCAAAAUCUCUUAAUUUUACCAUUCAAUAGGUCUCAAAUUUUGCAUAAUUAUUGAAAAUUAAGUUAUUACUUGUAUACAAAAUUUUAUUUCAAUCCAACUAGAAAUUUGAUGGAUAUUAUAAAAACCCUCAUUGAUCUUCUAAAUCCCAAUUUUCAAGACUUCAAUAUAUUUGAGCUUCAAUAAACUUUGAACAAACCAUUAGAUGAAGCUCAAAUUUUAAAUAUAGAUUAUGUACAAUAAUAAAUACUUAAUCACAAAAUUUCAUGUAUAAAUCAUAUAUAAAUUUUAU
rnacentral:lncRNA from 1 species